CCCUUUGGCUUAGCAAGUUGCUGAAAACAGCUUAUAAGCUUUUUCAGCUUUUUGAAUGUUUGCAGCUUUUUGCAUGUUUGGCUAGCCAAUUUAUAAGUCAUUUUGUGUUUAAAAUAAGCCUACAAAAAUAAGUUGAGAUAGCCCAACUUUUUUUUUUUUUUGACUUAUAAAUAAGUUGUUUUCAGCUUAUAAACUGCUUUUUUUAAGCUAAGCCAAACAGACCCUUAAUUCCCAAAACCCAGAAAUUCCAUUGAAAAUCUUCCUCACGUGUUCAAGAUUCUCCUAUGUUUCCUAGAAUUUCAUCUCAUUUUAUAAGUGGUUUUUUGUAUUAUUGUAAAGUUAUACAGUUGGCAGACACAUGGCACCAAGAUUAAACAUCGAUCAAAUAACAACCGACACGCCAGAUUGGACUUCCAAAGUUCAAAUCGUGGACAUGAGUCGUGAGCGAGAAAGUCCUGAGAAGAAAAUCAGAUUCCAAAAUUUAAUUUUGUAAGAUGAAGAGAAAAGCUUCAAAUCUCGGAGACACAUCUGAUUUCCACCACAAGAGUUCGAGUUUCGCCACUUUAUACGGCAAACCAAUACACAAGUUUUAUUAGGUACUUGGCAAAGAAAAUAUAGUUGAACAUGUCAAGCCAACUAACGAGCAUGAGAUCAACUAAGCUGAAUAUCACAACUUUUGACCGCAUCGCUCAUAUGACUCCUCAUUCUUCUGUAGAAGUUGCAUACAUACUAGGAGUCGUUCUACGUUAUGGCCCUCCAAAAUAUGUAGGUCGCAAUCAAAACGGGUGCCGAGAGAUUAUUGUUGUUGGCAAUCAGAAAAAAACAAUUUCUACUCACUUUAUGGGAGGACUUCGGAGAAAUUGAAGGAACUGUGCUCCAAGCAAAAAUGGGAAAGGAUGAAGAGUUCCCUGUAAUCCUUGGAAGGAGUAUAGGAAUAUCUUCUUAUCAGGGUGACGGUGACUUUUGCUCAAUGCGGAGGACUGUCAAACAUAGACUGAGGGAUGUAGAUGAUCUGAAGAGAAAUAGAUAGUGAGAAAACAAGACCAUUUUAAAAUCUCUUACUAACCUUUCUUCCCAUAUAAAAGAAAGGCUUUGUGCAAGUAACUACUCUGUCAAAACAAACAAAAUCAGCCUGUUAAGAUAUUCUUGAUUUUCUGGAGCUUGAAUGAGCUUGAUUACACCUACAAGUACAUUCAUUGUCUUUGUUCCCAGUGACGUAUCAGGUUCUUCAAAUUCUUGUAUUUUCUCAUCUUCUUCUGUUGCAUUUUUGUGCUUCAUCUUGUAUAUGUAUUACUCAUGCAUCAUAUUUUUCUGUUUGAUUUUUUAGCUUCAUUCUGCUUUGUUUAUUUUGACAGAGCAUAGGCCAUUAAUUUAUUUUAACAGGGAUUUUGUGAGAUCUCCUUUUCACUAUAUAUGGCGAUAUUGACAUUCAACGUCUGUUGUUGUGACUUGAGAGGAUUGUGGUUUUGUUUUUUCUUUUUUUAUUAUUAUUGAUUUCUUCUGAAUAUUUUGUUAUAUUUAUUUUCUCUCUUACUCCUCCCCAUGGGUAUUCUCAUAUUUUUUUUUUUUUGGAUGUUUAUUUGUCUUGCUUGCAUGCAUCUUAAUGGUGUUGGUCAAAAGCAAAAAAGAAAAAGCUUCACAUAAGCAUUAAGCAUCAAUGUUGUAAAUUCACAUCGCUUUUGUUGCACAUUUUUGGCUGUGAGAAAAAGACAAAUCUUUUUGUGGUCUAAAUCUUAUCUGUUCUAGUUUUUGACAGUGGAACGAUUUCUCUGUCUCAUAAAUUGGUUUUCUUUGUUAACUUUUAUUCUCAUACAGUUGAUAAAGGAAUAUAAGAAAAGGACAGAUUAAGGAAAAAAUAAUGAUCCUAGGUCAUUAAUACAUUGGUUCAUGUGAGUUGUUCUGUUUGUUCUCACUAGCUUUGAUUACUCAACUGUUUUGGCUUGUUGAAAAAAAUGUCAUCUUUCAUAGUUGGAACAGGAAAUGCUACUUCAUGUUAGAAAAUAGGUAUAUAUAUAAUUGAUGAAGAAAUGGCUUGGACACAUGGAUAAAUCGACUUUGCUCAAAAAGAGCAUAGGCCAUCCGUUUAUUUGCUUGCCUCCUCCUUCCAUUCUCAAAAUGGAAGUCGAUCCCGACAAGCACCCAUCUUUUCGCAUGCAUCUAUUUAAAGAAGGUUUUACGGAAAAAAUAGUUAUGCCGUCUCAUUUUGUGAAAAAACACAAGAAAAUGUUGGCUAAAACCUGCAUACUGAAAACUGAUGUAGCUGGAAUUUCAUGGAAAGUAAAAAUAGAGAGAGAAAAGCCCAAUUACUUCAUAUGUGAAGGAGACUGGGCACAGUUUGUGGUGCAUCACCAACUGAAGCAUGGGGACGUUUUGCUCUUUUUCCUCAUUGAGAAAUCAACGUUCCAUGUCCUGCUCUACUCCCAGAAGCAACGUGGAAACCUUGGUGGGGGGCAACUUUUUGAGGAACUCAGUUCUUCCUCUGAAGAGGAAGGGCAUGAGGAGGAGGAGAAUGAGGAUGAGAACAUCGAAGUUUCAAGAAAAUUGAAGAAAGUCAAAAUGAAGCGAGGAGAAUCAUCUGGUAAGUCAAAAUGGAGCCAAGAGCCAAUAGAUAUAUCAGAUUUUGAGGAAGAAUGCGUUAAUCCAUCCCGUAGCUCCAAAGAUGGGGGAAAUCCAUGCUUUUCACGACCAGAAGUUAAAUCCGAUGCCAAAGCUGAUAACAUGCUCGGCUUGAAGAAGAAAGCUCCCAAGACUGAAGAAGCGAAGAAGGUGGCCAAUGAUCCUGACAAACCAAAGAGGCCUACAAGUGCUUUCUACGUUAAGCGAGGACGGAGGUCUGCCAAGUAUCCUGACAAACCCAAGAGGCCUUCAGGGGCUUUCUUUUUUUUCUUGAAGGAGUUCAGGAAGCAGUUCAAGAAGGAGAAUCCAAAAAAUAAAUCUGUGGCCGCUGUCGGUAUAGCUGGUGGAAACAAGUGGAAACAGUUGUCAGAUGCUGAAAAAGCUCCUUAUGUGGCAGAGGCAAAGAAAAGGAUGGCGGAAUAUCAUAAGAACAAGGAUACUUAUUAUAACAAGCGAGUAGCUGCUGGAUCUUCCGAAGAAGAGGAAUCUUACAAGUCAAUGUCCGAGGUUGAUGCGGAAGAGGAAGGGGAAGGGGAGGAGGAGGUAGAAAAAGAGGAAGAGAACAAUGAGGCUUCUAGAAAAUUGAAGAAAGUCAAAAUGGAACCAAGAGAAUCAUCAGGCGCAAGGACGUAAUGGACAAAGAGAUGUUUAUAGCAUAUAAAAGAGCAAAAGCUAAUUUCAAGUCUAAGAAUCCGUUCUUUAUAUCUUUUAUGCAUCCUUCCUAUAUCUCCAAAUCGGGCUUUCUGUGCAUAAAGUUGGCAUUUGCUAGGGAAUAUAUCCCGGAAAACUGCAGCAACAUAGUGCUUCGUGUUCCAGGAAGGGGAUCUUGGCCUGUCAAAUACUAUCUGGCAACUGGACAAGCUAAAUUUUGGACUGGCUGGACGGAGUUCGUGCUGGACAAUCAGUUAAAAAUAGGUGAUGUUUGUGUAUUUGAAGUGAUUGAGGGCACUCAGCUCUCUAUAGAUGUCACUAUAUUUCGUGCAGCUGACAACUGAUGGGUCUGAUUGUUAUUAGUUUUCAUUACUGAAAGAUAGUUUAGAACAAAGUUAGUAUUAUGAAGAAAAUCUUGAAGGAAGGCUUCUAAAAUUAGCUCGAUGUGAAAUUAGACGAGCUAUUAUAUUCUAUAGUUCAUCUCUGUCUUUCUGACAAAUUUUCAUUUAAAUUUUCUAAUGCAUAUUUUGUUGCUUUUGAAUCUUAAGUGUCAUUCAAAUCGAAGAAAAAUAGCAAUCA